UACGUAGGGGGCAAGCGUUGUCCGGAAUUAUUGGGCGUAAAGAGCGCGUAGGCGGUCCGGUAAGUCGGCUGUGAAAGUCAAGGGCUCAACCCUUGAAAGCCGGCCGAUACUGUCGGACUAGAGUCCGGAAGAGGCGAGUGGAAUUCCCGGUGUAGCGGUGAAAUGCGCAGAUAUCGGGAAGAACACCCGGUGGCGAAGGCGGCUCUCUGGGACGGUACUGACGCUGAGACG
rnacentral:rRNA from 1 species